AACGAACGCUGGCGGCAUGCCUAACACAUGCAAGUCGAACGAGACCUUCGGGUCUAGUGGCGCACGGGUGCGUAACGCGUGGGAACCUGCCCUUAGGUUCGGAAUAACUCCCCGAAAGGGGUGCUAAUACAGGAUAAUGUCUUCGGACCAAAGAUUUAUCGCGUUGGGAUGGGCCCGCGUUGGAUUAGCUAGUUGGUAGGGGAAAAGCCUACCAAGGCGACGAUCCAUAGCUGGUCUGAGAGGAUGACCAGCCACGCUGGGACUGAGACACGGCCCAGACUCCUACGGGAGGGAGCAGUGGGGAAUAUUGGACAAUGGGCGAAGGCCUGAUCCAGCAAUGCCGCGGGAGUGAUGAAGGCCGUAGGGUUGUAAAGCUCUUUUACCCGGGAUGAUAAUGACAGUACCGGGAGAAUAAGCUCCGGCUAACUCCGUG
rnacentral:rRNA from 1 species